rnacentral:lncRNA from 1 species
GGUACGAAAUCCCUAUGUCGGCAAAUACGAUUUCCAGCGAUGAGCCCUUACACUCAACUUCCUUCUUUGAGCAUCCACUUAUCUCAUGUAAAAUCAAUGCAUCAAAUUCUAUUUAAUUCAAUCACAUAUCUUAUUCUGUAGAGUAUCGUCAUACCCGACUUGCAAGCCAUCAAUAUCACAUCAUUCUUUCGUGUAAUCAUUAUAUUCAUUAUAUUUCAACAUAACAACCCUCUUAUUUCAAGUCAAAAAUCAUAACUAUUUUCAAAAUAUUUCAUGUCAU